rnacentral:rRNA from 1 species
UACGUAGGGACCAAGCGUUGUUCGGAUUUACUGGGCGUAAAGGGCGCGUAGGCGGCUAUUCAAGUCAGUUGUGAAAUCUCCGAGCUUAACUCGGAACGGUCAACUGAUACUGUUUUGCUAGAGUGCAGAAAGGGCAACCGGAAUUCUUGGUGUAGCGGUGAAAUGCGUAGAUAUCAAGAGGAACACCUGAGGCGAAGGCGGGUUGCUAGGCUGACACUGACGCUGAGGCGCGAAAGCCAGGGGAGCGAACGGG